rnacentral:rRNA from 1 species
AGGGCUUGACAUACUGCGAAUCUUCUUGAAAGAGGAGAGUGCCUUCGGGAAUGCAGAUAC